rnacentral:lncRNA from 1 species
AGUAAUCAUUCAAUUUUCAAGAAACUGUAAUGAAAAUAAAAAAAGAAGAAGAAGAAAACAAAGCCAAAGGGGUAUCACACACAGUGGAGCUCUCUGCUGGGAUGAAAGCUAUGGGUGGGUCUUUCCCUUAGACAUUCCUGCAGUUGGCCUUGGACCAACUCUCUGUAGACACCUGGUUGACAGAACCAGUGUACCAAUUAUUCUUGGUGUGCAGUGUGGUCUUCUUUUCCAGAAAGACGUCCUUGAAGAGUGGCAUCACAUAACUACAUGUGCUUUGCCUAAUCAAGGAGCAUCAUUUUAUCCAGACGACAAUGUGACUGAACUCAGAGAAUGAGGGUCUGCCAAGAAAGGCAAUGGAAUAAAGAAGGAUUGAUGUGUGCUGUUCCAUGGGAGAGUCAUAGCCAGCAGUGAUCAGAACAGAUACACCAGACUUUAGCCACAGCUCAUCCCAUUGGCUUGCAGUUCAAAUCAGAGCUUUCUGCAUCUCUACUGCUGUGUCUAUCAGGACAGACCCCUUUGAUGCUUCAAGACUGACCCCUCAGAUGCUUCCAGCUUCAUCAUAAGCC